rnacentral:rRNA from 1 species
UACACACAGGUGCUGCAUGGCUGUCGUCAGCUCGUGUCGUGAGAUGUUGGGUUAAGUCCCGCAACGAGCGCAACCCUCGACUUUAGUUACCAUCAUUAAGUUGGGUACUUUAAAGUAACCGCCGGUGAUAAGCCGAGAGGAAGGUGGGGAUGACGUCAAGUCCUCAUGGCCCUUACGGGCUGGGCUACACACGUGCUACAAUGGUCGGUACAAAGGGUUGCCAAGCCGCGAGGUGGAGCUAAUCCCAUAAAACCGAUCGUAGUCCGGAUCGCAGUCUGCAACUCGACUGCGUGAAGUCGGAAUCGCUAGUAAUCGUGAAAUCAGAAUGUCACGGUGAAUACGUUCCCGGGCCUU